rnacentral:lncRNA from 1 species
AUGAUAAAAAUCAUCAAAUAAAUAUUUUAUUAAUUAAUUCAUAUACAAUUACAUCAAAUAGCACAACCGUCAACAGACUGACGAUUAACUUUGUGACAUAUUUUUCAAUAACUCCUACUUGUACUAAAGCCAAUCGGUACAGUAUCGUAUACCCAUCUUCAUUUUGUGAUCUUGAACUCCUUUACCACAAGGACUUUAGUUAAUGGGUCGGUC